AUUGAACGCUGGCGGCAGGCUUAACACAUGCAAGUCGAACGAGUGGCGGACGGGUGAGUAAUGCUUGGGAAUCUGGCUUAUGGAGGGGGAUAACGACGGGAAACUGUCGCUAAUACCGCGUACCAUAGGAUGAGCCCAAGUGGGAUUAGGUAGUUGGGGGGGUAAAUGCCUACCAAGCCUGCGAUCUCUCGCUGGUCUGAGAGGAUGACCAGCCACACUGGAACUGAGACACGGUCCAGACUCCGACGGGAGGCAGCAGGGGGGAAUAUUGCGCAAUGGGGGGAACCUGACGCAGCCAUGACGCGUGAAUGAAGAAGGCCUUCGGGUUGUAAAGUACUUUCAGCGAGGAGGCGUUACUCGCAGAAGAAGCACCGGCUAACUCCGUGCCAGCAGCCGCGGUAAUAC
rnacentral:rRNA from 1 species